rnacentral:rRNA from 1 species
UACAGAGGUCUCGAGCGUUAAUCGGAGUCACUGGGCUUAAAGGGUGCGUAGGCCGGCCCGCAAGUGCUUUGUGAAAUCCCACGGCUCAACCGUGGAAUUGCUUGGCAGACUGCGGGCCUUGAGGUCGGUAGGGGCCGCCGGAACUCUAGGUGGAGCGGUGAAAUGCGUAGAUAUCUAGAGGAACGCCAAAGGUGAAGACAGGCGGCUGGGCCGAUUCUGACGCUGAGGCACGAAAGCGUGGGGAGCGAACGGG